rnacentral:rRNA from 1 species
UCCCAGACUCCUACGGGAGGCAGCAGUGGGGAAUAUUGCGCAAUGGGCGAAGGCCUGACGCAGCGACGCCGCGUGAGGGAUGAAGGUCUUCGGAUCGUAAACCUCUGUCAGCAGGGAAGAACGGUCACUGUGCUAAUCAGCAGUGAAUUGACGGUACCUGCAAAGGAAGCACCGGCUAACUCCGUGCCAGCAGCCGCGGUAAUACGGAGGGUGCGAGCGUUAUCCGGAUUUAUUGGGUUUAAAGGGUGCGUAGGCGGAUUUGUAAGUCAGCGGUAAAAAUGCGGUGCUCAACGCCGUAUCGCCGUUGAAACUGCAGGUCUUGAGUGAGCGAGAAGUAUGCGGAAUGCGUGGUGUAGCGGUGAAAUGCAUAGAUAUCACGCAGAACUCCGAUUGCGAAGGCAGCAUACCGGCGCUCAACUGACGCUGAGGCACGAAAGCGUGGGGAUCGAACAGGAUUAGAUACCCGAGUAA